rnacentral:rRNA from 1 species
CUGGCUCAGGACGAACGCUGGCGGCGUGCUUAACACAUGCAAGUCGAACGAUGAAGCGGUGCUUGCACCGUGGAUUAGUGGCGAACGGGUGAGUAAUACGUGAGUGACCUACCUUUGACUCUGGGAUAAGCCUGGGAAACUGGGUCUAAUACCGGAUACGACCAAUCUCUGCAUGGGGUGUUGGUGGAAAGCGUUAUGGAGUGGUUUUAGAUGGGCUCACGGCCUAUCAGCUUGUUGGUGAGGUAAUGGCUUACCAAGGCGACGACGGGUAGCCGGCCUGAGAGGGUGACCGGCCACACUGGGACUGAGACACGGCCCAGACUCCUACGGGAGGCAGCAGUGGGGAAUAUUGCACAAUGGGCGCAAGCCUGAUGCAGCGACGCCGCGUGAGGGAUGACGGCCUUCGGGUUGUAAACCUCUGUUAGCAUCGAAGAAGCGAAAGUGACGGUAGGUGCAGAGAAAGCGCCGGCUAACUACGUGCCAGCAGCCGCGGUAAUACGUAGGGCGCGAGCGUUGUCCGGAAUUAUUGGGCGUAAAGAGCUUGUAGGCGGUUUGUCGCGUCUGCUGUGAAAGGCCGGGGCUUAACUCCGUGUAUUGCAGUGGGUACGGGCAGACUAGAGUGCAGUAGGGGAGACUGGAAUUCCUGGUGUAGCGGUGGAAUGCGCAGAUAUCAGGAGGAACACCGAUGGCGAAGGCAGGUCUCUGGGCUGUAACUGACGCUGAGAAGCGAAAGCAUGGGGAGCGAACAGGAUUAGAUACCCUGGUAGUCCAUGCCGUAAACGUUGGGCACUAGGUGUGGGGGACAUUCCACGUUUUCCGCGCCGUAGCUAACGCAUUAAGUGCCCCGCCUGGGGAGUACGGCCGCA